GGUCCCAUAGCUCAGUUGGUUAGAGCGUCGUACUAAUAUAAUUCCGGUUAUACUAAGUCCAUGCGAAGGUCGAGAGUUCGACCCUCUCUGGGACCA